rnacentral:rRNA from 1 species
UGGGGAAUAUUGGACAAUGGGCGAAAGCCUGAUCCAGCCAUGCCGCGUGUGUGAAGAAGGUCUUCGGAUUGUAAAGCACUUUAAGUUGGGAGGAAGGGCAUUAACCUAAUACGUUAGUGUUUUGACGUUACCGACAGAAUAAGCACCGGCUAACUCUGUGCCAGCAGCCGCGGUAAUACAGAGGGUGCAAGCGUUAAUCGGAAUUACUGGGCGUAAAGCGCGCGUAGGUGGUUUGUUAAGUUGGAUGUGAAAGCCCCGGGCUCAACCUGGGAACUGCAUCCAAAACUGGCAAGCUAGAGUACGGUAGAGGGUGGUGGAAUUUCCUGUGUAGCGGUGAAAUGCGUAGAUAUAGGAAGGAACACCAGUGGGGAAGGCGACCACCUGGACUGAUACUGACACUGAGGUGCGAAAGCGUGGGGAGCAAACA